ACAACAUGAAGAUAAUUUUUUUGCCCGUCCGCUUUUAUCUACUUUAUCUAUCUGCCCCCUCUUUUUACUGCUGCCUUGCGUUUUGGUUAAUGGAAAUGUUUGCUAUAGCCGACUUGAGCUGAGUAUCUGUGUAUCUGGCAGAUACAGUCAUCACGGACAGCUGUCAUUUUCACGAGUUUUCAUGAGUGGCGGACCCUUUAAGUGCCCUCACCCAACACCAGUUUGACCUUCUCCAGUUUUGAGUUAUAACAAAACAAUUUCAUUUCUGACUUUGAUUUCGAUUUUGAGACCGUCGCUCUUUCGAUCGCCAGGCCAAGAUCCCUUAAAUCCAUGAAAUAUUCACUCCAGAGCCAUGACUAUAUUCAUGAAGUUGCAGAGGGUCGGUGUGUCGUUGGCUCAUUUAACCAUUCCGAAACCAAAACCAAACCCAAAUCCGAAUCUGAAUUUUGUUUACCCGUUUCUCUGUUUUCGACAUUUCGUUGUCUGUGCACUUUGAGCCUACGUGAUGUCUUGCAUGGAAUUUUCAUUUACAUUUCUCGUUCGUCUCUUUGUGUUUGCUUCUCGCCUUUACAUGUCAAACGGACAGCCAAAUAUAUUUUCGUUCGGGCCAAAAACAAAAACUAAAUCACCCAACAGCCGAAAUCAUUGGAAAUGAUUAAGAUUUAUUUUAAUUUUAAAAGUUGUUUCAAAUUGUUUUUAAAACAAAUUAAAGUCAUUGCUAGGAAAGGAUCAUAGAAACCCGAAGUAAAUUGUGUGUUAAAUACCAAGGGUUUGAACCUCGAUUUUGCGGAAAUCGCACAAAAAAAAUUGUAUACCUCCACUGAUAAGAUGAUCAAUUUUGUGGGUUUUAUAGAAUAUUAAAAUAUACUUUGUUAUAUAUAAGUUAGUUUACCAACAUAAAUGAAUUUAAAUUCGAGAAAAAUGCCUGAACCUCUUUCAUUUCGAUUAGCGAGGAAAAAAAUCAAUGUAAUUGUUGUUGGCUUGCCUUACAGAUGAAGGGGUGAGCAUCCCUGCUGUAGAAUAAAUGUUAUACACGUAAGUGCACCAAGAGAAUCCAAUAAAACGAAAUUUUUUGGAUCCCCAAUGGAAUUGAAAAGUAAAAAGCAAGAAGCUGAGAAAAACAUGAAAAAUGCAUUUUCAACUAAAUUGAACUUCGCUUGACGGCAGAAACAACGUAGAACGUGUCAGAAAGGGAUUGAUUGACAUGGUGAGCUUUGCCCUCUCGUUCCGCCAUAGCCCCAUCUCGCUCUACCCUCUACCCUUCUCUGUCGCCCUCAGGGCUUCUUGUGCGUGGGCUUGGUAGAAUGUCUUUGAAGAAACCUUUGCUGCUUUUGGCUUUAUUUUCUGUGUCGCAAAAGGGAACACCGAAGAGCACGCACACACACAGACGCCAUUAACGUAUCACAUAACCAAGUAGCUAAAGUAGCAAGGAGUGGGAGGGGAAGGGGCAGAAGAAAGGCGGCCCAAAAGAAAGGAGGGCGGAGAAUAGGGAGCCGUCUGAGUUUUAAUGAGAGAUGCACGCGUGUACCAAUUUCCCUUUGGGAAUUCAUUUUGGACACGUUCGACAUGUGGAACCUGUUUGUUUGGGAACCCAGACUGAGGAACCUGUUCGGAGGUUGGAUUCUCCAAUCAAAAUCCAGGCUGCCAUCUGUAGUGUAUAGAAUAGCGGUAUCAGGCUGCAGGCAGCGCAGCAACAGCAGAGAAAAGGAGACAAAGUGAAAGAUUCUUGUUAUUAAAGAUGCCCAAAAGAAGAAGCAGAACAAAUAAGAACAGUAGCUAAACGAAGAGUAAAUACCCAACUGUUUUUAAUACCCUUCUAAGUGAGAAAAGUUAACUGGGAGUUGAAGAAAUCG